UACGAAGCGGGCUAGCGUUGUUCGGAAUUACUGGGCGUAAAGCGCGUGUAGGCGGGCCGUUAAGUCGGGGGUGAAAGCCCAGAGCUCAACUCUGGAAUUGCCUUCGAUACUGGCGGCCUGGAGCAUGAUAGAGGCGAGUGGAAUUGCGAGUGUAGAGGUGAAAUUCGUAGAUAUUCGCAGGAACACCAGUGGCGAAGGCGACUCGCUGGAUCCUUGCUGACGAUGAGACGCGAAAGCGUGGGGAGCAAACAGG
rnacentral:rRNA from 1 species